GAAUGCAGGGAGUCAAAAGGUACUUGCAGGGCCUUGAGUGAGUAGGGAGGCACCAUGAAUAACCAGAGAACAGAUUGGAAGACCCAGAAGGGAAGUAAAGAGGUGAGGAAGGAAAUAGCACAGGGAAAACUGUAACAUGGGUAGAGCAUUUGACUUAGUACAGGGCCCUGAGCUGUAACCCAGAAUUGGGGUUGGGACUGGAUUCCCCUACCAGUCCCAAGGAAGUGGUAUACAAGGGUAGCUGAGUCCAGUGAGAGGGCUGCAGGCUGAAUGUGACCUUGCUGAAGAAGAGCUGUGGUGAGGGUGGAAGCCUUUUAUUUCUGUUAAGAUAACUGACCCUCGAAGGAAUGGGCUAUACCUGGCUGGAGGGAUGAAUUAUCUGAAAGAAACUACCACAGCCCUAGGGUGACUGUCGACAAGGGCUGCUACUGCACAAGGACACUGUGAUGCUAUGCCUGGCCAUGAUGAAGUGCUUAUUGGUAUAAAUGGCAAGCCCUGAAAAGUCUUGCUAGAGGAUCUUAAACAGCAUAACGUAGAGACCAUCCAACCAGAGGGCUUUGCAAACAAGGCCGGAUCUAUCUGGUCUUUAGAGAGACCUCUCACUGAGAAAAGCCUCGCAGCUCUUUCCUGUAAAGUGCCUCCACAUUUCAGACCCAGAGCCAUCAGUUCGAACUUCAGUGUCUCUAAUCCUAGCUCUUCCAUCUCAGCAGCGGAGUUGAAUGCCAGCAAAUCUAUUCGUGUAGGCUCCUGCAGAGAGAAGAUGCAAUUAAUUCAUUGUUUUAACAGAUUAACAAUAUGCUCUUCUUGGCUUAUGCUCAUUUGGUCUCCAACAAGAAUUCAUUUUACAGAAGACUACUACUCCAGGCUUAUUUGGAAGUCACCCAAACACUUUCAAAGUGUGACAAUAUAAUUAAACAUCUGUAAGUAAGUGGGAUAUUUUCACGAUUAAACUUGAAUUCCAGUAAUCUAAGGCUCCUUUUUGUGAUCUACAGACAACUAUAUUUCUAAGUUAUCCUGCCAAAAUACCAUAGACAAACUCUGACCACUAAUUUGAACAGUCUGUCUGUAAGAGAGGGCUGAACAAACUUGAAAUAAAAACAAGUGACCUGUUCUUAUCUUCUUGUUCUUUGGAAGAAAGAUAAAUAAUCGCACGAACAGAGAAUUCUUAAACACUUAGCAGUUCAACAGCCUUAUCCUUCAGUUGCACAGGCCAUCCACUAUCCAGGACAUAAAGCUAUAAGCCUUCUUCAUUCAGAAUACAGCCCAGAUGAAAUAGUCACCAUGAAUAGCAGGAAAGAGGGUGGGACAGCCUACAUUUCUGUUGCAACCACCCUGAAGUUACAAGAACUGCAGACAAAAUAUUCUCUUUUUAUAAGGUGUUUAGGGAAGAGUAAAGUUCUAGGAGUGCAUCUUAUUUUGACACAUAGCAUAGCUGACACAAACCAUGCCUUAGCUGAAGAAAAUCGGCAUCUUCAACUUCUAGGAAGAUUCAAAUCAAUGCAAUUUAUUAGUAUCCACUGAACUGAAUAUGGAAUUUGGGACAACUCUUACACCCCUUAUUAACAAGCAUAGUGCUGUCUAUGAAGUAUCACGCUGGAGUUAACAAAAGGGACUUAAUAAUAAACAGUCCCAGUGACUGAAAUGAGACCACUCAUUUGUCGGCGCAAUACCCAGCACUAAGUGUUUACUUAAGAACAGGGUCUGAUUCUGUACAGUAUUGCACACUGCCAAGCUAUGCAUACAAAAAAAAAAAGUCAUCUGGCUGUGUCUUAGCAUCGAGUGGAGCUGUUAUGAGGUCUUAUUACUAUAGUCACUACUUUUACAAAAUGCAGUGGGCACCAUCAUAAUAUUUGCCAACUGCAAGAAGAAUUUACUAUGCCAUUGGUGAAGUUCCCCGUUCUAAGAGGAGGGAACGCUGCAAAUAAUGAGGGAAAGAUAAAACACUGCAGUGCUGCAAAUAUCCCGUUUAAGAUGGUUCCUACUGUGCACUCAAAUGUAUACUACAAAGUUUCAGUUAACUGAACUACACCUGUUAAAAACUGAAGUACAUUUUGUGAUGGGUUUUCCCCU